UAGUCCACGCCGUAAACGAUGAGAACUAGAUGUCGGGAGGAUUUGCCUUUCGGUGUCGCAGCUAACGCAUUAAGUUCUCCGCCUGGGGAGUACGCCGGCAACGGUAAAACUCAAAGGAAUUGACGGGGACCCGCACAAGCGGUGGAGCAUGUGGUUUAAUUCGAUGCAACGCGAAGAACCUUACCUGGUCUUGACAUCCUCGGAACUUUCCAGAGAUGGAUUGGUGCCUUCGGGAACCGAGUGACAGGUGCUGCAUGGCUGUCGUCAGCUCGUGUCGUGAGAUGUUGGGUUAAGUCCCGCAACGAGCGCAACCCUUGUCCCUAGUUGCCAUCAUUUAGUUGGGCACUCUAGAGAAACUGCCGGUGACAAACCGGAGGAAGGUAAGGAUGACGUCAAGUCAGCAUGCCCCUUACGCUCUGGGCUACACACGUGCUACAAUGGUCGUGACAAAGAGUUGCUAGUCUGCGAAGGCAAGCCAAUCUCAUAAACGCGGCCUUAGUUCGGAUUG
rnacentral:rRNA from 1 species